rnacentral:rRNA from 1 species
GAGACCGGCGCACGGGUGCGUAACGCGUAUGCAAUCUACCUUUUACAGAGGGAUAGCCCAGAGAAAUUUGGAUUAAUACCUCAUAGUAUAGCUCUACCGCAUGGUGGUACUAUUAAAGUCACAACGGUAAAAGAUGAGCAUGCGUCCCAUUAGCUAGUUGGUAAGGUAACGGCUUACCAAGGCUACGAUGGGUAGGGGUCCUGAGAGGGAGAUCCCCCACACUGGUACUGAGACACGGACCAGACUCCUACGGGAGGCAGCAGUGAGGAAUAUUGGACAAUGGGCGCAAGCCUGAUCCAGCCAUGCCGCGUGCAGGAUGACGGUCCUAUGGAUUGUAAACUGCUUUUGUACGAGAAGAAACCCUCCUAUGUAUAGGAGCUUGACGGUAUCGUAAGAAUAAGGAUCGGCUAACUCCGUGCCAGCAGCCGCGGUAAUACGGAGGAUCCAAGCGUUAUCCGGAAUCAUUGGGUUUAAAGGGUCCGUAGGCGGUUUGGUAAGUCAGUGGUGAAAGCCCAUCGCUCAACGGUGGAACGGCCAUUGAUACUGCCAGACUUGAAUUAUUAGGAAGUAACUAGAAUAUGUAGUGUAGCGGUGAAAUGCUUAGAGAUUACAUGGAAUACCAAUUGCGAAGGCAGGUUACUACUAAUGGAUUGACGCUGAUGGACGAAAGCGUGGGUAGCGAACAGGAUUAGAUACCCUGGUAGUCCACGCCGUAAACGAUGGAUACUAGCUGUUGGAAGCAAUUUCAGUGGCUAAGCGAAAGUGAUAAGUAUCCCACCUGGGGAGUACGUUCGCAAGAAUGAAACUCAAAGGAAUUGACGGGGGCCCGCACAAGCGGUGGAGCAUGUGGUUUAAUUCGAUGAUACGCGAGGAACCUUACCAAGGCUUAAAUGUAGAUUGACCGGUUUGGAAACAGACUUUUCGCAAGACAAUUUACAAGGUGCUGCAUGGUUGUCGUCAGCUCGUGCCGUGAGGUGUCAGGUUAAGUCCUAUAACGAGCGCAACCCCUGUUGUUAGUUGCCAGCGAGUAGUGUCGGGAACUCUAACAAGACUGCCAGUGCAAACUGUGAGGAAGGUGGGGAUGACGUCAAAUCAUCACGGCCCUUACGCCUUGGGCUACACACGUGCUACAAUGGCCGGUACAGAGAGCAGCCACUGGGCGACCAGGAGCGAAUCUACA